GAUCAGUUAUUGAUCAGUUAUUGAUCUGCAGACCUGCUCCUGUACUUGUGUCCAGAGCUCAGAAACGUCCUCGAGGAGCUGCUUGUAGAGCAGCAGGCGCUGGAGGCGAUGAAGACCCUCCAUCAGCUCUACAGGAGGCAGGGUGGAGCAGGCCAGGGAAGAGGUGGAGAGGCUGAAGGAGGAGGUGGAGAGGAAAAAGGCGGAGCUUGGUGCACUGCAACAGGAAGUGGAGUUCCACAGGAAAGAGGCCGAACAGGUCGGAGUGGGGUCAGCCCCACGGUGACAUCAUCAUGAUGUGACCGCAGCUCCGCCUAAACAUCCUGGGCCCACAGGACUACACAUUAACCCAGUGCCAGAACUCCACCUUACACACACUGGGACCCCCCUGACUGCAGCUUGGGUUGUUGCCGUGGAAACAGGCGGCCUGCCUGUUAAUGACUAACACAUGUGGACCUGCACAGGAAGUGACUGAGUCAUGAACACAGGAUUCCAGCGGAGAGCAGCGGAGCUCUUCAGAGUAAAAGUCCUGGUCUCAGGUUUCUGUUGGACCUUCUGCUGAGUCAGCAGCUGCUGCUGAUCAGAAGUGAUGUAUUGAUCAGCCUCGUUCAGUUUGGAGCUUUUGGUUCUGUCCCACAGUUCAGUGUCUUAGCUUGAAUAAACACAGGCUUUUAUUGUGACAGCAGACAGGAAGCCGUGCUGAGUGUUUCCUGAAACAUGAUCAAAUGUGCAGGUUUGAAUUUUUCCCUCAGAAAGUUUGAGGAGUCGGAGGAGCUGGAGCCGACGAUGGAGACGGACCGCAGCAGAAAGAGGCCCAGCGGUGGAGCUGAUCUGCAGCUGCACCAGGAGGCCCAGCAGCUGCACCAGGAAGCCCAGCAGCCUCCGGGCUGUAAGAGGAGGUGCAGGGAGGACCCAGAGGAGAUGAACAGGGGGAGGAGGAGAAGCAGAGGAGGCUGCAAGGAGAACAGAGACCCAGGAGCAGGCCUAAGGAGGGGCGGGACCCAGAACCUGCAGAGGGACCGCAGAUGGUGAGGAGGUCCGGAUUUCCCAUUUGGUGACUGCAGAUCCAGACUCUAAAGGUCUGUCAAACUUCCUGCAGGGCUUCACAGGCCAGAACCAGGACCAGAACCACAGCCUGCACUGGAGCUGCAUUCAGCCGUGCAAGUGAGGUCAAGGCUGGCGGACCAGAGGUACGAGUGGCUCUGAUCAGAAAGACCAGGAUUCAGCUCCGAGGAUCCAGUCAGACCCAGGACCGGCAGCCCAGGACCAACUCAAAGGUCUGUUCAAAAGACAUCGACCUGGACUCCGGGACCUCCUACUGACCGUGUCCUCUGUUCACAGGUCAGGUCCACAGCAGGCAGCAGAAUCAGCAGCGAGCAGGACAGGGGGACACCGAGGACCUGGUCUGUUGGCAGGGCGACUGAGACCAGGGCAAGGAGGAGAAGGAAGAUUCACCCGUCUGUGUUCAGAGGGAGAGGUACUCAAUCAAUCAAUCAACCGAUCAAUCGAUCGAUCGAUCGGUCAAAAGCCUGACUG
ensembl:lncRNA